CCUACGGGAGGCAGCAGUAAGGAAUAUUGGUCAAUGGGCGGAAGCCUGAACCAGCCAUGCCGCGUGCAGGAUGACUGCCCUAUGAGUUGUAAACUGCUUUUGUCCGGGAAUAAACCUAAAUACGUGUAUUUAGCUGAAUGUACCGGAAGAAUAAGGAUCGGCUAACUCCGUGCCAGCAGCCGCGGUAU
rnacentral:rRNA from 1 species